rnacentral:rRNA from 1 species
AUGAACGCUAGCGACAGGCCUAACACAUGCAAGUCAGGGGCAGCACAAGGAGCAAUCUGAGGUGGCGACCGGCGCACGGGUGAGUAACACGUAUGCAACCUGCCUGUAAGCGGGGAAUAACCCGUUGAAAGACGGACUAAUACCGCAUAAUACUAAAUUACUGCAUGGUAAUUUAUUUAAACAUUUAUGGCUUACAGAUGGGCAUGCGCAUGAUUAGCUAGUUGGAGAGGUAACGGCUCCCCAAGGCAACGAUCAUUAGGGGUUCUGAGAGGAAGGUCCCCCACACUGGUACUGAGACACGGACCAGACUCCUACGGGAGGCAGCAGUGAGGAAUAUUGGUCAAUGGACGAGAGUCUGAACCAGCCAAGUCGCGUGCAGGAAGAAUGUCCUAAUGGAUUGUAAACUGCUUUUGCAGGGGAAUAAAGUGCAUCACGUGUGAUGUUUUGUAUGUACUCUGCGAAUAAGGAUCGGCUAACUCCGUGCCAGCAGCAGC